AGAGUUUGAUCAUGGCUCAGGAUUAACGCUGGCGGCGUGCAUGAGACAUGCAAGUCGAACGGACGAUCAGGGCUUGCUCUGAUCGUUAGUGGCGGACGGCUGAGUAACGCGUAGGUGACCUGCCCCGAAGUGGGGGAUAACUGCCCGAAAGGGUGGCUAAUACCGCAUGUGGUGGUUCGUUCGAUCGAAUCAUCAAAGCAGCGAUGCGCUUCGGGAGGGGCCUGCGUCCGAUUAGCUCGUUGGUGGGGUAACGGCUCACCAAGGCGACGAUCGGUAGGUGGUCUGAGAGGACGAUCACCCAGACUGGGACUGAGACACGGCCCAGACUCCUACGGGAGGCAGCAGUCGGGAAUUUUGCGCAAUGGACGAAAGUCUGACGCAGCAACGCCGCGUGAGGGAUGACGGCCUUCGGGUUGUAAACCUCUUUUCUCAGGGACGAUGAUGACGGUACCUGAGGAAGAAGCCACGGCUAACUACGUGCCAGCAGCCGCGGUAAUAC
rnacentral:rRNA from 1 species